rnacentral:rRNA from 1 species
GAUGAACGCUGGCGGCGUGCCUAAUACAUGCAAGUCGAACGAACAGACGAUGAUCUUGCGCCGCGCACGUUAGCGGCACACGUGUGAGUAACACGAGUAUAACCUCCCUGUAAGACGGAGAAAACUUGGGGAAACCGGAGCUAAUCCCGUAGAAUAUCUUGAACCACGUUGGUGAAUGGUGAGAUACGGUGGUUUCGGCGGGUAUAGAUGGAUGCGCGCCUUAUCAGCUUGUUGGUCCAGUAGCGGCUUACCAAGGCUUCGACGGGUAGCCGGCCUGAGAGGGUGACCGGCGACAUUGGGACUGAGAUACGGCCCAGACUCCUACGGGAGGCAGCAGUGGGGAAUAUUGCACAAUGGGCGGAAGCCUGAUGCAGCAACGCCGCGUGCGGGAUGACGGCCUUCGGGUUGUAAACCGCUUUCGCCUGUGACGAAGCGUGAGUGACGGUAAUGGGUAAAGAAGCACCGGCUAACUACGUG